rnacentral:rRNA from 1 species
UACGGAGGGUGCAAGCGUUAUCCGGAUUUACUGGGUUUAAAGGGUGCGUAGGUGGAUAAUUAAGUCAGUGGUGAAAUCUCCGGGCUUAACCCGGAAACUGCCAUUGAUACUAUUUGUCUUGAAUAUCGUGGAGGUAAGCGGAAUAUGUCAUGUAGCGGUGAAAUGCUUAGAUAUGACAUAGAACACCAAUUGCGAAGGCAGCUUACUACCCGAAUAUUGACACUGAGGCACGAAAGCGUGGGGAUCAAACAGG